GUGUGAGGUUUUGUUGGAUGAGGCUUGGGGUGAUUUUGAACCUAGAAAAUAAAGAGAAAAGGUGGAUAAAGAAAGGAGGAACGGAUGGCCCAGGAGCUACCAUGCACGCUGACGUUAUUCAUUUCUAGCUUUUAGUUUUAGGCUUGGGGUCAUGGCUUCUCUGCUUCCUACAACUACAACAACACUUCAACAUAAUCGUACCAUCUGCUUCUCUCCUCUCAAACUCAGCAUCCCAAUUGCCAUUUCCUUUCCGACAAACCGUUUCAAGAGUACCUCUGCAAAGUGUAAUGCAGUUUUUGGUGAUACUCCCAAAGACUUGUUGGAGACCACUUUUCACUUGGACCAGUUUUCUGUCUUCCAAUCAGUGUUAGUAAAGUUUCAGCAUGUAACUGAAGAUUUAUCAGACGUGCAGAGGUGGGGGUUUGUGAUACUUGCAGGGCUGACAUGGGCCUAUUUAACUGCGAGGCCGGGUGUCCUUGUGGGCGCCAUUGAUGCAUUCCUUUUGGCCCCUAUUCAACUGGUUUUGGACAGUUUAUCUGGAAGAAGAAAUCUUAAGAGGACUGAUUUUCUUAUUGGAGAUAAACUAGGAGAAGGGUCUUUUGGUGUUGUUUAUUCAGGUGUUUUCGUCCCAAAGAAUGUAGAUGCACAGGAGUUGAUGCAAAAAAAUGGAAGAGGCAAGUUGAAAAAGUUGGAUGCCAAAUCUAAGGAUAAAGUCAUUCUUAAAAAGGUAAAGGUUGGAAUUGAAGGGGCAGAGGAAUUUGGUGAUUUUGAGGAGUGGUUCAAUUACAGACUCUCCAGAGCAGCUCCUGAAACAUGUGCUAAGUUUCUUGGAAGUUUUGUAGCUGACAAAACGAAUUCACAGUUCACAAAAGGUGGAAAAUGGCUAGUUUGGAAGUUUGAGGGAGGGCGCUCUCUUGCCGAUUACAUGGCUGAUCAAAGCUUCCCGUCAAACUUAGAGUCUACCAUGUUUGGACGUGUCUUGCAGAGUGUAGACUCUUCUAAACGAAAUGCAUUAAUCGUCAAGCAAAUAAUGCGCCAGAUCAUUACUUCUCUUAUGAAAAUUCACGACACUGGAAUUGUUCAUAGGGAUGUUAAGCCUGCCAACUUGGUAGUUACCAAACGGGGGCAGAUUAAACUCAUCGAUUUUGGUGCUGCAACAGACCUUAGAAUUGGAAAGAAUUAUGUUCCCAAUCGUAACCCCUUGGACCGUGACUACUGCCCGCCUGAACUGUCUGUUCUACCAGAAGAAACUCUGAGUCUUCCACCAGAGCCAAUUGCAGCUUUCCUUUCACCAAUCAUGUGGCAGUUAAAGAGUCCUGAUCUGUUUGAUAUGUAUUCUGCUGGGAUUGUAUUCCUGCAAAUAGCAAUUCCAACCUUAAGAUCUUCAGUUGCUUUGAAGAAUUUUAAUUUGGAGAUAAGAACUUGUGGAUAUGAUUUGAACAAAUGGAGAGCGUCUACUCGCAUGAGGUCUGACUUCCAAAUUCUUGAUAGUGACUCUGGAAGAGGUUGGGACUUGGCAACAAAGCUUAUCUCCAAGAGAUGCUCACAAUUAAGAGGACGUUUAUCUGCUGCUGCUGCUUUGAGGCAUCCUUAUUUCCUUCUUGGUGGGGAUCAGGCCGCUGCAGUCCUUUCAAAACUAAGCUUUUAAAGCACAAAGUGCGCUGCUUAGAAAUGCUAUGUAUAGUAUACCUAUUUGUUUUGCUCUUUUGAUGAGUACAAGCCAUAUCACUGUUAAUUGAAGUUCUCUGUGGCAAUGUUAUUAAAAAACGUCUCUUUUCUUUCGGAGGAGCUCGUAUGAUAUGGAUAUAAUGGCAUCCGAUCUAAUGCCGACUAAUUUAUAAAUUUACAAGCAGAAAUUUGCAUAUUUUCUAUGUUUAAGCCCGAGAACCUCCAGAAGAUCUGAAGGAAAAAGCUAUGAUAGCUGCCUAGCAUGUUGGCGGUCUAAAUUCAUACAUGCCUUCCAUGUUAUCUGUUUGCCAUUAUGAUAUGACAUAUCUCCUCUCAAAAUCAAUGGCUUAUUCAAAUUCAGGAAGGAGUACUCAAUGGCUUACAAAGGCUUAACAAGCCUUUUCUCAUGAUUUUUUCUUCAAGGGGUAAAUAUUCAGUGUUUGGCAGGACAUGACCAGUAAUGCCAAUGGGUUCAAAAAAUAUAGAACUGAGGAAGAGACAAUCUAUUGCUUUUUUUCUGAUAAGUAAGGAUUUUUUUACUUAUCCAUGAUAUUUACUUUCAAGAUUGGAUGGUUUAUUUAUUCAAUUUCAUUUGACACUUCCAAUCAACCAUUGUUCUUGUGCGAAACUAUUGUUCAGUGUAUUCCAAUCUACAAUUUACUAUAUUUUCCACAAGGCAAUCGGUGUACUUAGCGUCUAUAAUGCUAACUUAUUUAUUUUAUAAAUUGCUAUAUAAUGGUGCACAUGUAUAUAUUCUUAUUGUAAAACAACGAAGAAUGCUGCAGCACUCUUCUAGUUUAAUAUGGUGGUGACCUUGCGUGACCAUAAUGCCACAACAUACAAAUUAAAGCAUUGUUCAUAACAAAAGGUAUGGUGAAUCACAUAUUUAUCCAUGCAUGGUUUUAUAGGACCACAGCAUUACCAUUGGAAACUUUCCACACAUGGUGUUACAGUUCAUCGUGAUAGAGUAUGUUUUUCAACAACUUUUUCUUCUUACAUCCCCAAUUGCAUUUAGUAUUGCACAAGGAAUUGAACAUCGCAAGCCUAGUGGAUUGAAGCUGUAUAAUGUUUGAGGUGGAGGGAGAUUUUGAGAGAACAAUUGCAUAGCCAUCAUCCAUGUUAUCAGUUCCAUCAGGAAAAAAUUGCCACAAAAGGCUUCCAGCCCCACUCCCUCCUUUCUUUGUGGAGUUCAGGAUGGUAUUGUACACACUACUUAUGAGUGUAUCUCUGUAUGAUGAAUUGUAGCCAGGGUCUUUGGAAGAUACACCAAACUCAGCAAAAAUAACUGGCAUUCCAAGAUGCUUUUCAGCAUCCUCUAUGUGGGCUUCCAUCCAUGAUUUUACAAAUGAGAGAUGAGAAUCAGCAAUUUGUUGUGAAAUCCUUCAACCAGAUAGCUGAUUAAGUUAGAACUGUAGUAUAUGUAUGUCAAAAUAAAUCACUAACAAAAAUUAGUGUUUCUGAUACACUAGACAAAUGUGCAUGCAUAUGAAUUUGAUACUGAUAUAAACAGUUCGUAUAAGAAUUUAAUUUAAAUGCAUUGACAGUAUAACUGUCAUCCAAUGACAGGAUGUCAUGUAUGGCAAGUUUGUCCACUUUUAUAAUAAUUACCUUAGAAGUCUAUUUGGUUGACAUCACAUAUUUUCUAUUGGUUGACAAUAUAAAAAUCUUUACACUGACAAAACGUGAAAAAGAAACUCCUUACAUGAACGUUUGACAUAAGUAAGUUUUAUGAAAACUUCAUAUUUUUUUAAUAAAACAAUAGCAAUUCUGAACAGACUUACCAAGAGUCAGCAUAUACAUGAACAGAAGCGAAGUCCACACCAAGAGCCAGGUGGUUCCUUAUAAAAUCAGUUCCAACCUGCGUAGCAUAUGUAUUGGGAUUGAACUGAGUUCUCUGAGGUGUUGAUGGGCCAUAAAAUCCUUCUAGUCCAACCUCUACCAGGUGUUUUGGAUCAAUUUUCUUCACUUGGAAUGCCAUUUCUUGAAUCCAAUCCUAGAAUACACAUUCAAGUGAGUAGUUGGGUUCAGUGAACUAUGUGACAUCAUGGAAAGAACUUGCUAUUAAUUAGAAUGCAAUUGUGUAGUGCGAUGUGAUUAUAUGACAUCACAAAGUGUGUCUAUAUUUUCUUUUCAAUCAAUACCUCUAGACCCUUCCUUGUGAUAUGGAGGCCAAAAGAAAGGGAUAAACCUGUAACUUGUCACCUGUGGGAUCUGAGGUGCAACGAGGCUCAUUCAUCAAUUCCCAAGCAAAAAUUGUUGGAUCCUCCUUGAACUUGCCUUAACAUGGGCCUUGUAGUAGCUUCUAAGAGUUGGAUGUGAGAAGAAGUCAUCAUCAGAGGUCAAGUUAAGGCCAGCAGCAUUUCCCCAUUUCACAUAUUGUGCUUUGCCUCCAUAUGCCUCCCAGUUGUUAGACAAUGAUAAUAUAAGCCUGAUUUUGUAUUUCUUUGCUUCACUCACCACAAAGUCCAGGGCCUGAGAAACCAAUAGUAAAAUGGAAUUACACAAGGUAUGCUAAUUACCUGCACUGAUGACUAGAAACUCAGAAGUUUGAUUGUAGCAUAUUCUUAUUUCAA